CCUCUGUGUGCUAAAACGUUAUCUUGACUUUUUCUCGCAGGUCAGGCGACGUUCUGUCUCCAUCAAUCUUGGCUCAGGGGGCCUCGCUGACAUUUGUGAAGGAAUCUCAAGACCUGGCUGGUGUCUACCAGUGUGACGCAAAUAACAAAUACGGAAGUUACCAGAGUUUCCUCUACGUGGAUUUCUCAGUAACAAGCUCCAUAACUGGCUGGAUUUUUUUUAGUAUUCUUCUUCUGAUCAUUGUGGCAGCUGGCUUUGCUGCAUUUCUGCACAAACGUGGAUGUUUUGAACUUCCGAGGUUUCUAAGGCCUGACAGAGACGCAGUGCGAACAUCCUCACCAGACGAAGCAGCAAAUGAAAAUGCUGCACUAUAACACCAGAGGGAAAGAGAUGGAUCCUAAUACGUCCAAGCAAAUACUAAAACUUAAGCUUGACCAUCUUUGGCAGAGAUUGAAACAACAGGAUGCUGGCUUGCUGACUCGAUUCCUGCCUCUGUCGUUGUGUCCUUUAG